rnacentral:lncRNA from 1 species
GGACACAAUCACAAACAAGAGUCGGAAGGCUGGUGAGCACAUGAGACCAGUCAUACGCCCAUCACCGUAAGGUCCUGAUGGGCAGGCUCUAGAAGGAAGGCUGUGGGUCUCUAGCUGUGAUGCUGACUGACCCCGGGCAGAUCGCUUCCCUUCUCUGGUCAUCCAACUCCUCAUCAGUUGAAAGAGGCAGUGGCUGCCAUUGUUCUUCAUGAUGUCCUGAGCGUGGUCUUUGAAUCCAGUGCAGAGCUGUUAGCAAGACGCUUCCUGAGGAAACACAGUGAAAUGCUUUGGAAUGAGAGACUGCUGUGUCAGUGAGGGUACGCUGUAUGGAACCUCAAGGUAAGCCUCAUGGGGGACCAGGCUGGGCCAGGCCUCUGCUGAGAUCCCAGCUACCACAUGGGCA